rnacentral:rRNA from 1 species
AGUAAACGUUGGCGGCGUGCCUUAACACAUGCAAGUCGUACGAUCCUUAAGUGGCUUGCCAUUUAAGGAGAGUGGCGAACGGGUGAGUAACACGUGAGUAAUCUGCCCCUAAGUGAGGAAUAACUCCGCGAAAGCGGGGCUAAUACCGCAUGAAACUCUGAAGCAAAUGCUUUCAGAGUCAAAGCCCUUCGGGGCGCUUGGGGAUGAGCUUGCGCCCUAUUAGCUAGUUGGUGGGGGUAAUGGCCUACCAAGGUAAUGAUGGGUAGCCGGCCUGAGAGGGUGUACGGCCACACUGGAACUGCGACACGGUCCAGACUCCUACGGGAGGCAGCAGUGGGGAAUUUUGCGCAAUGGGCGAAAGCCUGACGCAGCGACGCCGCGUGGAGGAUUAAGGCCUUCGGGUUGUAAACUCCUGUCAGAGGUGAAGAAUGCCCCUUCGGGGGGUUUGACGGUAACCUCAGAGGAAGCCCCGGCUAACUACGUG